rnacentral:rRNA from 1 species
GAUCCUGGCUCAGGAUGAACGCUGGCGGCGUGCCUAAUACAUGCAAGUCGAACGAGCGAGAUCCAGCUUGCUGGAUUUAGCGAGUGGCGAACGGGUGAGUAAUACGUAAGCAACCUGCCUACACGGACUGGGAUAACACCUGGAAACGGGCGCUAAUACCGGAUAGGUAAUAAGAAGGCAUCUUCUUAUUAUUAAAGGUUUGAAACACAAGUAGAUGGGCUUACGGUGCAUUAGCUAGUUGGUGAGGUAACGGCCCACCAAGGCGAUGAUGCAUAGCCGGCCUGAGAGGGUGAACGGCCACAUUGGGACUGAGACACGGCCCAGACUCCUACGGGAGGCAGCAGUAGGGAAUUUUCGGCAAUGGGCGCAAGCCUGACCGAGCAACGCCGCGUGAGUGAUGAAGGUUUUCGGAUCGUAAAGCUCUGUUGUAAGGGAAGAAUGGCGCGGAUAGACUCCGCGAUUGACGGUACCUUACCAGAAAGCCACGGCUAACUACGUG